rnacentral:lncRNA from 1 species
GGGCUUUGGAGCUUAGAGUGCUCAAUGAUAUUUUACAAGGAAACCUCAAAUUACCACAGAUUAUAAAUCGUUCAUGUGCUUCUAAACCUCCAAAAUGAAUGAGGCCCUAUGCCUCAGAGUCUACUCAAUCCUUUCUUUUCAGAACCACUUUGUUACACACCAGAAGACCAAUAAUUUAAUGUUCUAUUUGUGUACAUGCUUACCUAGUAGACUUUGUUACUCCUAACAUCUAUAAUCAAGACUUAUGUUGAGUUGUCAAGUUCUCUCUAGAUAUGAAUUUGCAGUCCAAACAAAACUUUCUAUCUAGUUUCUUUAUAAGAAAUAAAUUAAUUUAAGAACGUGUAACUCCACUCUUUUAUGUGAUAAGAUGCUUCUUCUGCGUUUUAAAACACAUGUUGGCUAUUUUAAAAUCAAAAGCUUAGAAGAAAUCUAGGAUAGUCCUAUCCUUUCAUAUUUGAUUCCAGUAUGUCAUAACCCCAUGAAAACAUUCAAAUGCUCUAAUGUCAUUCUCUUCAUGCCAUUAAGAUCCCUUCCUAAGAAACUCUAUUCUUCUAAAGGUAUUUCAUAGACUAUGCCUUCCAAAUCCUCCCAAAUUUUUAUCUUAUAAUAUUCCUCUAGCCAUAUCGGACUAAUCACAUUAAAGGAGGUGUCUUUUUUUGAUACAAACUUUAGGAUUAUGAUCCUAUUCUCCUAUUCUUUUUAUAUCCACCAUGAAAUCUAGGAUAAUCCUAUCCUUUCAUAGAUGAUCAAUUUUACGUUCUUCUUUCAUUCCCUAACUACAAUUUUAUCAAUCUUGUCUUACGGGAGGAAAUUCUGAGAUUUUCAAUUUUAUCAAUCCUAUCUCCUACAUAAAAUUCAAAGAUGAUCAAUUUUAUGUCAUUCUUUCAUCCCCUAUCUCCAAUUAUAUCUACAUAAAAUUCAGAGAUGAUCAAUUUUACGUCCUUCUUUCAUUCCCUAUCUACAAUUUUAUCAAUCUUACUGUACUACCACAACUUAAAAGUCUCAUUCAUGUGCCUUGUUCCCAACCUAUUUAGUUUCUUGUGGAUAUAUAAAAUUGAUCACUCUCCUAAUCAUUAUGUCUACUAUUUUUUAUUGAUUUACUUGUUCCUAUUCAUAUCGUAGAUCGUAAACUAGUUUCUUUACCUACACCUACUGAGUAGCCCUUACUUUUUUGAUAUUGUACUUAGAUGAUAUACCACAUUGCUUAUGGAUAAUGAAAAUGGACCCUCUCCAUUAUUGGAGGGUCCAGUAUCACAUAAGAUUGUGACAUGUAGACUUUAAAAAAAUUGAUAGUUCAUAUUUUAAAAUAUUUUUAGGCAAAAACUUACUAGAAAUGAUGAAAUAAAUAUGGGUCUCACAUUCCAGUAUUGGACCCUCCAGUACUGGAGAGGAUCCCGGGCUCAUGGAUAAUGGCCUAACAUUAUCACAUCGUCGAUCCAUAUCAGAGAUUCAACAAAGUUUUAUAUUAGUUGACUGCACAAUACAACUUCCACCUUUUAUCCUAACCUAACUCACACUGUUAGUGACAUUUUUUAUUUUUAAAUGGGUAAUAUUAAAAGGAAGAGUAAAUUACACGACACCCAUGAGUUUUAGCGAAAUUACACAAAUCACCCCUCAAUUUUUUACACCUACAUAAACCCUGCCAAUUUUUAUACUUUCAUUACACGGACCACCGCUUGAUAAAUAAGUGUAAUCUUUUAAACAAAAAUGUGAUAAAUGCAAUUAAGUCAAACAAAACAUGGUAUGGAAUUACAGGAAGUAGAAAAUGGAGCUGCAAUUGCUUCUGUGACAGAAAUUUCAGAGGGUCAGCAAAAAGUUGUGGUGAAAGAUGAUUCAGGAGUGCAAGUAUCUUCCCAUGGGAGAGUUUUUCUCCUUGGAGAGAAUCGAUGGGAAGAACCUUCAAGACUUGUUGCAACUCCUGGAGUCGACAGGACCAAGAACAAGGAUGGAACAACAAAAUGCCUUCAAUGUCGCGGGGAAGGUCAAUUGUUAUGUACGGGUAUGAAAUUUUGCUUAUAUUUUAAUGAAACUUCAGUAUCCUUUAGUAGGUUCAUAGUGCAUUGUUCUGGAAGACAACUUUCAUUGUUAAACUACAUUUAAUUUGAUAUAAGCUUCAAGAAGCAGUGCUGUUCAUAAAGGGUAACAUAUUGUAUUUUCUAGAACAGGUUUUUCUAAUCCUCGUGCUGAACUGGUAUUAGUUUUCUUCUGUACCCUUUGCCUUCUAUAUAUUCUUCUUUGGAGGAAUUGAUAACUUAGGUAUGCCUUUGUUUCUUCAUGCAUGCUUCACAUCAUAAGGAAACAACUUCUAACAUAGACUGCUAGGUUUAUGAUAAUAUUAAUCUGUAUUUGGAUCUCUUACAAUAACCAUUACAAAGGAAAUCAUAAGACCGAUUUUUGACAGAUUGGUAUGUGUAUUAUUUUUAUGAACACUUAUGAAAAUUUCUCAGUCAACUUCCAUUUCUUUUAUUGCAGAAUGUGACGGAUCAGGUGAACCAAAUAUUGAACCCCAAGUAAGGGAUAUUUAAAUUUUGUAAAGAAAAAUUACUUUUGUUCUUAUUUUCCUGAGUUGCACAAGCUUUUGAACUUACCAAUGAGUUCUCUAAUGCAGUUUAUGGAGUGGGUGGGUGAGACUACAAAAUGUCCAUAUUGUGAAGGCCUAGGCUAUACUCCAUGUGAUCUGUGUGGAGGGAAAGCUACAGUAUAAGUAUGACAUACAUUCUUCAGCUAUUCAUGCAUGUAUAUUGUUGUCAAUAUCAAUGCAUCACAAAAAUUGGUUGUUCCUGAAUGUUCUCAACUGGAAAAGAAAGUAAUUCCAUCUAACCCCAGAGUACAAUAGAGCAAUUAUCAAAACAGUGAAGCAUGUAUGUCAAUCAUCAAAACUGAGAUUGAAACAUAAGAUCAGAGAGGGCUUUGGAGCUUAGAGUGCUCAAUGAUAUUUUACAAGGAAACCUCAAAUUACCACAGAUUAUAAAUCGUUCAUGUGCUUCUAAACCUCCAAAAUGAAUGAGGCCCUAUGCCUCAGAGUCUACUCAAUCCUUUCUUUUCAGAACCACUUUGUUACACACCAGAAGACCAAUAAUUUAAUGUUCUAUUUGUGUACAUGCUUACCUAGUAGACUUUGUUACUCCUAACAUCUAUAAUCAAGACUUAUGUUGAGUUGUCAAGUUCUCUCUAGAUAUGAAUUUGCAGUCCAAACAAAACUUUCUAUCUA